GACGAACGCUGGCGGCGUGCCUAAUACAUGCAAGUCGAGCGAAGCGGCGGAUGGGUGAGUAACGCGUGGGUAACCUGCCCUUACUUCUGGGAUACCAUUUGGAAACAGAUGCUAAUACCGGAUACUAAAGGAUGGCCCUGCGAUGCAUUAGCUAGUUGGUAAGGUAACGGCUUACCAAGGCGAUGAUGCAUAGCCGGGUUGAGAGACUGAUCGGGAACAUUGGCACUGAGACACGGACCAAACACCUACGGAAGGCAGCAGUAGGGAAUCAUCCACAAUGGAAGAAAGUCUGAUGCAGCAACGCCGCGUGAGUGAAGAAGUUUUUCGGAUCGUAAAGCUCUGUUGUUGGUGAAGCGGUAAUCAAUCAGAAAGUCACGGCUAACUACGUGCCAGCAGCCGCGGUAAUUC
rnacentral:rRNA from 1 species